rnacentral:tRNA from 1 species
UCUAUAAUAGUCUAAAAAAGAUAUAAAAUUUAGAAUUUUAAGAUGUAUUAACUUGUAGAA